AUGGGCAUGGCUGAGAAGAGUUCGGUGGCCAGGAAGGCCGGGCUGAUCACCAAGACGUUGGACCGGUGCCGGAGCACGACAACGAGGAACAAGCCAGCAGAGGGCUGCUUCUCGGUGUACAUCGGCGCGAAUAGACAACGGUACAUGGUGCGGAUGGAGUGCUUGAGCCACCCGUUAUUCCAGGCACUGCUGGAGGAGGCCGAGGAAGCGUUUGGGUAG
rnacentral:rRNA from 1 species